GAUGAACGCUGGCGGCGUGCCUAAUACAUGCAAGUCGAGCGAACGGACGAGAAGCAUGCUUCUCUGAUGUUAGCGGCGGACGGGUGAGUAACCCGUGGAUAACCUACCUAUAAGACUGGGAUUACUUCGGGAAACCGGAGCUAAUACCGGAUCAUCUUCUGAACCGCAUGGUUCCAAAGUGCAAGACGGUCUUGCUGUCACUUAUCGAUGGAUCCGGGCUGCAUUAGGUAGUUGGUAAGAUAACGGCUUACCAAGGCAACGAUGCGUACCCGACCUGGAAGGGUAAACGGCCACACAAGGUCUAAGACACGGUCGCCACUCCUACAGGAGGCAGCAGCAUGGAACCUACCGCAAUGGGCGAAUGCCUGACGGAGCGACGCCGCGUGAGUGGUGAACGCCCACGGUGCGGAAAGCGCUGUAAAUAGGGAAGAACAUAUGGCUAAGUAACUGGGCACAUCUCGACGGUUCCUAAACAGAAAGGCGCGGCUAACUACUUG
rnacentral:rRNA from 1 species